ensembl:snoRNA
AUCCCUCUGUAGUUCAUAAGCGUGAUGACUGGGUGUUCACGCCAUUCACAUGUGCCUCCCUCAAACCUUGUUACGACCUCGGCACAUUGCCUGUCUGACA